GGGGGUGAGCUUUGGGUUCUCCCAUGUUCAAGCUACUCCCAGUGAGACAGUCCACGUCCUGAUGCCUGCAAGAUGUAGAACCCUCAGCUACGUCUCCAGCACCAUGACUGCCUGAAAACCUCCAUGUCCCACCAUGAUGAGAAUGGACUAAACCUCUGAAACUGAUUGAACCAUUCCUAUGAGAGAAUGAAUAUGUCCCUGAACACCAAGAAUGAGGGGGAGUGGAGGACUCGAGGAGGAGAAGAUGUGCAAAGCUAUGAAAUCACCACUCUGGACACUGCUGACACCUGUAUGUGGAAAGAUCCGAUCGGUCCUGUGUCUCAGAAACUCAACAAGACAAUACCUUAGCGCUUGACACACAGUCGUUGCUCAGAUUCCAUGAGUUGGGCUCAGUGCUUAGCUGUGAAUCUCUGCUUCUGCUUCUGUCAGCUACUGGACUGGAACUGAAAGUUCACUCACUGCUCCCUACACUCUUGAAACCCAGCCUCUCUGGUUCCUGGAGCAGUUUCUCAAGUCUUUCUAGUUUCAUCGCCCUGCAGCAGCAGCCUAUCCACAGGAUGAACAGCACACACAUGUGGGUAUUCUCAUUUCAUGUGUAUGAGAGUGUAUGCCCAUGAACAUGCUCUGAGUGCUUGUCUGGUCCCCUCAGACACCAAGGAAGCACUGACUGCUGGAACUGGAGCUACAGGUGGUUGUGAGCCACCAUGUGGGUGCUGGAAACUGAACCUGGGUCCCCCGCAAGAGCAGCCAGUGCUCUUAACCCCUGAGCCAUCUCUCCAGCCCCAGUGCUGGUUAUUCUUGAUGGUCAACUUGACAGGGUCUGGGAUCACCUAGGAGACACACCUGUGGGCAUGUCUAAGCAAGAGAGAUUUGCUUAACUGAGAUGGGAGGAUCCCUCCUGGAGGUGGGCACUGGGGCCCCGGACCAGACAAAAAGAGAAAGCGAGCCCAGCACCAGCAUCCACCUCUCAGCUUCCUGUCUGUGAAUGCCACGUGACCUGCCCCCUCAGGCUUCCUGCAGUCAUGCCCUCUGUGACACAAGGGACCUUAUGCCCG
rnacentral:lncRNA from 1 species